rnacentral:rRNA from 1 species
AGUAACGCGUGGAUAACCUGCCUCACACUGGGGGAUAACAGUUAGAAAUGACUGCUAAUACCGCAUGAGCGCACAGUACCGCAUGGUACGGUGUGAAAAACUCCGGUGGUGUGAGAUGGAUCCGCGUCUGAUUAGCCAGUUGGCGGGGUAACGGCCCACCAAAGCGACGAUCAGUAGCCGACCUGAGAGGGUGACCGGCCACAUUGGGACUGAGACAUGGCCCAA